CGGUAAUACGGAGGAUCCAAGCGUUAUCCGGAAUCAUUUUUAAAGGGGGGUCCGUAGGCGGUCAGAUAAGUCAGUGGUGAAAGCCCAUCGCUCAACGGUGGAACGGCCAUUGAUACUGUCUGACUUGAAUUAUUAGGAAGUAACUAGAAUAUGUAGUGUAGCGGUGAAAUAUUUAGAGAUUACAUGGAAUACCAAUUGCGAAGGCAGGUUACUACUAAUGGAUUGACGCUGAUGGACGAAAGCGUGGGUAGCGAACAGGAUUAGAUACCCUGGUAGUCCACGCCGUAAACGAUGGAUACUAGCUGUUGGGAGCAAUCUCAGCAAUCAAGCGAAAGUGAUAAGUAUCCCACCUGGGGAGUACGAACGCAAGUUUGAA
rnacentral:rRNA from 1 species